GCGUGGAAUGCAACAUGAAGGAAGGAAGAGGUGAGGAUGUGUCUCUGGACACGACGGAGGGCCUAUGGACGGAGUAGGCGAGGAGGCGGGAUGGACGCAUGACAUUGUCCGGGUAUUAGGAGUGCCGAGCUUAUGUUCUCCAUGGAGGGGGAUUUUUGCUUUGGUGUUGUCGAGGGUUCUUGGUUGGGUUUUCUCUUUGUUAAACUCUUGUGUGGGAUGUUGGCUUUUACUUCCGAUAAAAUAAAUGUUUGAUUUGGUAUCA